rfam:Schistosoma curassoni strain Dakar, Senegal genome assembly, scaffold: SCTD_scaffold0012624
AUCUAUCUGAUGAGUCUCAAAUAGGACGAAACGCGCGUCCUCGGU